UGGGAAGCGAAUGUGUUGGAUUCAGCUCACCGUAAAGAAACUCAGCCUGCAGGCAAAUUUAACACACCCUUUCGAUAAUUUCGUCACAACUACACUGUUUUCAACUUAGGACCACCUUAAAUGGAAAGGAUUUCAAGGGUUUUUUUCUCAUGGGCUAUGCACAGAGAUGCAGAACAUCCUUCUUCAACACAUGCAUCAAAAAUAAUUCUUUAUUUUGACCAAUAAAUGUGGAAAUAAGCUUUAACACGAAAACGAGGCUCCAGGUCAUG